rnacentral:rRNA from 1 species
UACGGGGGGGGCAAGCGUUUGUUCGGAAUUACUGGGCGUAAAGGGCUCGUAGGCGGCCAACUAAGUCAGACGUGAAAUCCCUCGGCUUAACCGGGGAACUGCGUCUGAUACUGGAUGGCUUGAGGUUGGGAGAGGGAUGCGGAAUUCCAGGUGUAGCGGUGAAAUGCGUAGAUAUCUGGAGGAACACCGGUGGCGAAGGCGGCAUCCUGGACCAAUUCUGACGCUGAGGAGCGAAAGCCAGGGGAGCAAAACGGG